rnacentral:rRNA from 1 species
AACGAACGCUGGCGGCAUGCCUAACACAUGCAAGUCGAACGAGACCUUCGGGUCUAGUGGCGCACGGGUGCGUAACGUGUGGGAACCUGCCUUUAGGUUCGGAAUAACUCAGAGAAAUUUGAGCUAAUACCGGAUAAUGUCUUCGGACCAAAGAUUUAUCGCCUUUAGAUGGGCCCGCGUAAGAUUAGCUAGUUGGUGGGGUAAAGGCCUACCAAGGCGACGAUCUUUAGCUGGUCUGAGAGGAUGAUCAGCCACACUGGGACUGAGACACGGCCCAGACUCCUACGGGAGGCAGCAGUGGGGAAUAUUGGACAAUGGGCGAAAGCCUGAUCCAGCAAUGCCGCGUGAGUGAUGAAGGCCUUAGGGUUGUAAAGCUCUUUUACCCGAGAUGAUAAUGACAGUAUCGGGAGAAUAAGCUCCGGCUAACUCCGUGCCAGCAGCCGCGGUAAU